rnacentral:rRNA from 1 species
UACGGGGGGAGCAAGCGUUGUUCGGAUUUACUGGGCGUAAAGGGCGCGUAGGCGGCCAGCACAAGUCAGUUGUGAAAUCUCCGGGCUUAACUCGGAAAGGUCAACUGAUACUGCUUUGCUAGAGUGCGGAAGGGGCAAUCGGAAUUCUCGGUGUAGCGGUGAAAUGCGUAGAUAUCGAGAGGAACACCUGAGGUGAAGACGGGUUGCUGGGCCGACACUGACGCUGACAGCGCGAAAGCCAGGGGAACAAACGGG